AGGCGCCGAGCGGCCUCGCCUGUACGGCGGCCGCGGCGGAAAGCGGUGCAGACGCUGGCGCCUGGCGCCGGAGCGGCUCCAUUUUCUAUGUGGGCUUUAGGAGCCGAGUGGUUACCCUGCGUACCUCUAGGGUCUAGAGCUUUUUCUGAGGCCUAUUUCCUUGAAAUUUAGGCAUGAGGGGCCGCAUCGUGAUGGAGAGGGUAGGGCGGCAAGAAGCCCAACUCGGAGGACCGCCCCCCUGACACUAGCCAGGCCCCGCCCCGCCUGACACUAGCAGCCACAGAUGAUCUGAAACCCGGAGACCUCCCUCCACCCCCCCCCCCACACCUGCCACUAGCAGCCACAGAUGAUCUGAAUGCAAAAAUCAGGCCCUGUGGCUCGCUCUGAUCCCAUUCUCGUCCCCUUUGUUUUCUGAACACUGUAAGUAAGGGGUUACUGCAAGGUGGCCGCAGGGCCCGGCUGGCGGGGAAGCCCAGAAACCUGAGGAUUAGGCCCAAAUAAGGGUAAGUUCCUCAGCCUUGCCCUGUCUCGGCGGUGGCGUCACCAGGAUGGAGAUGAAAAUGUCCUUCCUCGCCGGGUUGAAGACGCAGUGAAGCGGUGCCUUGUGUGUGUGCUCAGCAAGGCCUCCGUGUUGAAACACACUGUCGCCCGGGGGACAGAGCUGGAAGGAGAGGAGCUGGAAUUUGUAAGGUUUUGUCAGGGGCUUGCGGCCUGGCAGAAAUGUUAUUUGAUCGGGAUACCCACUUCACAGAUGAAGAAACUGAAGCUCAGAGUUGCGGGGACUCCUCUAAGGGGACACCCCUUAGGCAAGUGGCAGAAUCGUAACUUGCCUGAGAUCUUCUGCUGAGUACAAUAUCGAUGCUUGUCCUUAUAAAAUGUUGUGAUUAAAGGAUGUGAAAAUGAGCUUUAAACUAUAAAGAGCUGGAAAACGCACAAGCUAAUCGUAAUGUUGGAAAACGCUGAGAUUUUCACAACGCUCCCCAAGUGUCUGCAAAGUGGGCUUGAGAAACACUGGUCCAGAGAAACACACCCUGAGUGAAGAGUCAGCUCCAGGCCUCAAGAGUCAACAGCAUCCUUCCUCUCAGCUCAACUUCCCUGCGUCUCCACCAGAAGCCUCACAGCUCGCUGAAUGACUAGGACGAAUGAGCAUUCCUAAGAGUGGGGUUGCAAAGCCAGGGGCAGUCUAGCAAAGAUCAGCAGCCCCUGGUUCGGCUCAAGAGCUUUUUCAUUCAUCUGGCCACUUAUUUUAUGCCUUUUGUCAUGGGCUGAAGCGUGCCCCCUGAAACUCCUAUGUUGAAGCUCUACCCACUCCCCAACGGCAGCUCAGAAUGUGACCGUAGUUGGAGACAGGCCCUUAACGGGGCAAUUAAGGUUAAAUGAAGUCAGAUGGGUGGGGCCCAUCUUGAAAUUUCUGGCUGUGGCCAAACUCUGCAACACUUGGGCCCUCUUCUGUUAAAACUGCAAACCAUCAUCACUCGAACCUCAACACACAAUCUGUUUGCUAUUUGUGAAAAGUUGAUUGGACUUGUUGGAACUAGACUAUUAGAAAAAAGCUAUGUUCUCUGGUAACAAACUUAUGUGUAUUCCCUUGACCAAAAAAUUGGCAUAUUAUAUGAAAAAACUUGUCUGAAAUUUUUAGGACCUCA